GAUGAACGCUGGCGGCGUGCCUAAUACAUGCAAGUCGAGCGAACAGACGAGGAGCUUGCUCCUCUGACGUUAGCGGCGGACGGGUGAGUAACACGUGGAUAACCUACCUAUAAGACUGGGAUAACUUCGGGAAACCGGAGCUAAUACCGGAUAACAUGUUGAACCGCAUGGUUCAACAGUGAAAGACGGUCUUGCUGUCACUUAUAGAUGGAUCCGCGCCGCAUUAGCUAGUUGGUAAGGUAACGGCUUACCAAGGCAACGAUGCGUAGCCGACCUGAGAGGGUGAUCGGCCACACUGGAACUGAGACACGGUCCAGACUCCUACGGGAGGCAGCAGUAGGGAAUCUUCCGCAAAGGGCGAAAGCCUGACGGAGCAACGCCGCGUGAGUGAAGAAGGUCUUCGGAUCGUAAAACUCUGUAUUUAGGGAAGAACAAAUGUGUAAGUAACUAUGCACGUCUUGACGGUACCUAAUCAGAAAGCCACGGCUAACUACGUG
rnacentral:rRNA from 1 species